GGAUGUUCCGGCAGAAAGCCAGCUCGCUCUCAGUGUCUCCUAACAUAAAUGAAAACACAGUGCCCUUCUGUGAUGCCAGAAUGCACAGAGGUGGCUCUUCACCAGCCAGCACGCAAGUCUGCAGAGGACACCAGCUGGCUGGCCUCCAGUUCAUUUCAGACCUGCUGCUCCCCACCUGGAGAUGGUGUCGUUUCCCACAGGUUGAGGGCUCAGUCCUUCAGGAAAGGCUAUAGAGACUAGCAUUCCUGUUCCCCAAGAUCACCGGGAAGCUAUUUCCUCCUGCCAGCUGCACCUUUAUCUGUCCCGUCCCUGUGACCCCCAACUCUUCUCAGAGACUGGGGAGCCUAGAAGGUGGAGACAGUGUCGAGAAGCUGGGCGAUGCCUGACAAGGGCUUCUGACACGAUGAGAUGAUUGCUUACCUGCCUGGCAUCCAGGAAUGCUCCCUGCAUAAGACCGUCACAUUCCUGUGUCAAUGCUGCCUGCCACACUGUGUCCCCAUCUAUCACCAGUUGUGGCCCACUAACCAGGCUGAGACAGGAGAUCUGGGAAGUGGGGUCAGCAGAGCUACAGACUGACCUUUCAGUGGCUAAAUGCAUUAUUCAGAUUGAUGAGAAUAAGAACUGGGACUCUACUGGAUUAUUAAAGAACUGGAACUCUACUGGAUUGUUAAAGCCCAAAGCUUCAACUGGAGGAAUGAUAGGUUCUCUGCAUGGUCAUCUGAGGCCUGUUCUCACUCUUGAGUCAAGCCCACCACCAGAAAGAUGUUUAGGCCAUUAGAACUCCAUCUAAAUCUUGUGGACACCUUUGAAGUUGAUGAUGUGGGUAUGAGAACCAGAUCCUGCUUCCAUCAGCUCACCAAGGAAGUUGAGACUGCAGGCUACCAGCAAAGUUGG